UACGGAGGAUCCAAGCGUUAUCCGGAAUCAUUGGGUUUAAAGGGUCCGUAGGCGGUUUUAUAAGUCAGUGGUGAAAUCCGGCAGCUUAACUGUCGAACUGCCAUUGAUACUGUAGAACUUGAAUUAUUGUGAAGUAACUAGAAUAUGUAGUGUAGCGGUGAAAUGCUUAGAUAUUACAUGGAAUACCCAUUGCGAAGGCAGGUUACUAACAAUAUAUUGACGCUGAUGGACGAAAAGCGUGGGGGAGCGAACAGG
rnacentral:rRNA from 1 species